rnacentral:lncRNA from 1 species
ACAGAGUAUAUCACAAAAGCAAUCAAAAAUCAAGAGUCUGCUAUCAAGGAAAAACAUAUUCGACGGACAAUAAUAGGAACAUGGCAGGAGAAAGGUAACUCUAUGUUUUGGUUAACACUUAGCAAGCAGCCUCUUCCAUCACAGCCUAUCAUUUGUUGGAAGUCUAUGCUUUUGCUACAUAAAAUAUUGCAUGAAGGUCAUCCAAAUGUUCUACAUGGCUCCUAUCUUUAUAAAAAAACAUUGAGAGAAUUGAUGGUUGUAUAU